rnacentral:rRNA from 1 species
GUGGGGAAUCUUGCACAAUGGGCGAAAGCCUGAUGCAGCGACGCCGCGUGGGGGAUGAAGCAUUUCGGUGUGUAAACCCCUUUCGACUGGGAAGAAUACCUCGCAAGAGGGGUGACGGUACCAGUAGAAGAAGCCCCGGCUAACUACGUGCCAGCAGCCGCGGUAAGACGUAGGGGGCCAGCGUUGUUCGGAAUUACUGGGUGUAAAGGGUUCGUAGGCGGUGCGGCAAGUUGGGAGUGAAAUCUCUGGGCUCAACCCAGAGGCUGCUUCCAAAACUGCUGUGCUCGAGUGUGAGAGAGGCUCGUGGAAUUGCAGGUGUAGCGGUGAAAUGCGUAGAUAUCUGCAGGAACACCCGUGGCGAAAGCGGCGAGCUGGAUCACUACUGACGCUGAGGAACGAAAGCUAGGGGAGCAAACAGGAUUAGAAACCCCAGUAGUCC